rnacentral:rRNA from 1 species
GUACACGCUGUGACUAGCAUAUCAAUAAGCGGAGGAAAAGAAACUAACAAGGAUUCCCUUAGUAACGGCGAGUGAAGCGGGAAGAGCUCAAAUUUGAAAUCUUCAAGGUUCUACCUUGACGAAUUGUAGUUUAUAGAAGUGUUUUCUGUUAGUAGGAGUGGCAAAAGUUCUUUGGAAUAGGACAUCAUAGAGGGUGAGAAUCCCGUAUUUGGUCAUUCCUUCUAGCUUUGUGAUACACUUCCAAAGAGUCGGAUUGUUUGGGAAUGCAGUCAAAAAUGGGUGGUAAAUUUCAUCUAAAGUUAAAUAUUGGCGAGAGACCGAUAGCGAACAAGUACCGUGAGGGAAAGAUGAAAAGAACUUUGAAAAGAGAGUUAAACAGUACGUGAAAUUGUCAAAAGGGAAGCGUUUGACACCAGUGUUGUUUUUCCGAAAAUCAAUUAUAGAUGUUUUGUUUCUGAGGAGUGAUGACUUCAUCGGCUUCCUUCUCUCUUUACGAAACUUUUGUAAUGCACUUUUCGGUUAACAAGUCUACAUCAAUUUCUUUUGUUGUAAAAGAGUAUUCGGAAGGUGGCUUUCUUUUCGGAGAAAGUGUUUAUAGCCCUAUACUUCUACAAUCGGAGAGAUUGAGGUCUGCAGCGUAGAUCCUUCGGGGUUAGAUACACUUGUGCUAAGUUAUAGCUUUUCAUAGACAACUUGUUGACUAUGUUUAGUCUUGUAGCUUACUCGCUUGUGCUAUUUUACCUACGCUUAGGAUGUUGACACACGCGCGUGCUC